GACGAACGCUGGCGGCGUGCUUAACACAUGCAAGUCGAACGGAAAGGCCCUGCUUUUGUGGGGUGCUCGAGUGGCGAACGGGUGAGUAACACGUGAGUAACCUGCCCUUGACUUUGGGAUAACUUCAGGGAACUGGGGCUAAUACCGGAUAGGAGCUCCUGCUGCAUGGUGGGGGUUGGAAAGUUUCGGCGGUUGGGGAUGGACUCGCGGCUUAUCAGCUUGUUGGUGGGGUAGUGGCUUACCAAGGCUUUGACGGGUAGCCGGCCUGAGAGGGUGACCGGCCACAUUGGGACUGAGAUACGGCCCAGACUCCUACGGGAGGCAGCAGUGGGGAAUAUUGCACAAUGGGCGGAAGCCUGAUGCAGCAACGCCGCGUGCGGGAUGACGGCCUUCGGGUUGUAAACCGCUUUCGCCUGUGACGAAGCGUGAGUGACGGUAAUGGGUAAAGAAGCACCGGCUAACUACGUGCCAGCAGCCGCGGUGAUACGUAGGGUGCGAGCGUUGUCCGGAUUUAUUGGGCGUAAAGGGCUCGUAGGUGGUUGAUCGCGUCGGAAGUGUAAUCUUGGGGCUUAACCCUGAGCGUGCUUUCGAUACGGGUUGACUUGAGGAAGGUAGGGGAGAAUGGAAUUCCUGGUGGAGCGGUGGAAUGCGCAGAUAUCAGGAGGAACACCAGUGGCGAAGGCGGUUCUCUGGGCCUUUCCUGACGCUGAGGAGCGAAAGCGUGGGGAGCGAACAGGCUUAGAUACCCUGGUAGUCCACGCUGUAAACGGUGGGUACUAGGUGUGGGGUCCAUUCCACGGGUUCCGUGCCGUAGCUAACGCUUUAAGUACCCCGCCUGGGGAGUACGGCCGCAAGGCUAAAACUCAAAGGAAUUGACGGGGCCCCGCACAAGCGGCGGAGCAUGCGGAUUAAUUCGAUGCAACGCGUAGAACCUUACCUGGGUUUGACAUGGAUCGGGAGUGCUCAGAGAUGGGUGUGCCUCUUUUGGGGUCGGUUCACAGGUGGUGCAUGGCUGUCGUCAGCUCGUGUCGUGAGAUGUUGGGUUAAGUCCCGCAACGAGCGCAACCCUUGUUCACUGUUGCCAGCACGUUAUGGUGGGGACUCAGUGGAGACCGCCGGGGUCAACUCGGAGGAAGGUGGGGAUGACGUCAAGUCAUCAUGCCCCUUAUGUCCAGGGCUUCACGCAUGCUACAAUGGCUGGUACAGAGAGUGGCGAGCCUGUGAGGGUGAGCGAAUCUCGGAAAGCCGGUCUCAGUUCGGAUUGGGGUCUGCAACUCGACCUCAUGAAGUCGGAGUCGCUAGUAAUCGCAGAUCAGCAACGCUGCGGUGAAUACGUUCCCGGGGCU
rnacentral:rRNA from 1 species